rnacentral:rRNA from 1 species
UACGAAGGGUGCAAACGUUGCUCGGAAUUACUGGGCGUAAAGCGUGCGCAGGCGGUUUUGUAAGACAGGUGUGAAAUCCCCGGGCUUAACCUGGGAACUGCAUUUGUGACUGCAAGGCUGGAGUGCGGCAGAGGGGGAUGGAAUUCCGCGUGUAGCAGUGAAAUGCGUAGAUAUGCGGAGGAACACCGAUGGCGAAGGCAAUCCCCUGGGCCUGCACUGACGCUCAUGCACGAAAGCGUGGGGAGCAAACAGG